rnacentral:lncRNA from 10 species
GUCCAAGGCAGGAGGGCCAUCCUGGUCAGCUGAGAGAUCUGGGUGUUCACACCCACCUUAGAGAGCAGAUGCUCACUAGUCUCUGCAGGGCUGCAGUAAGAUGGUGGCAUCCCAGGGCUCAGCAGGAAUGGACUGGGGUUGGGGGCAGCUGGAGUUAGGUGCAGAUGGGCUGGGCAGUGGGGCUUUCUCUCUACUGACACAGACUCCCUCCCUAUCCUUUGAAUCAGUGGUAAGCUCCUUGAUAAGAGGUCUCUUGUCUUGCUUACCACUAUAUCCCCAGCUACGAUCUGGCACAUAGUAGAUGCUCAGUGAAUGUCUGCUGAACAAAUCAAUGAAGAUACCCAACCUUCAUAGAAUCUUGGCAAUAGAAUCCCAGAGGUAGACUUGUGUAUGGAUUGGCAUGUCAAUUGGACGUGAUGGUUGCGGGGAGGGGUGCGUGGAUUGCACUAUCAAGCAGCAGAAGAAGUUUAGGGAGCCCCCCUGAAAUUUGGAGAAGAGAAGGGAGGUUUAUGCAAAGUGAGGGCUCUGGUACUAGGUCAUAAGGCAGCUCUUCUCGGGUGCCCAGAAAGCCAGGCCUGCCUGUGCUUGUUGGAGUAAGGAGUUCCAUCUGCUGUGGGUAGGAGAGUUGUGCUGCCAGGAAGAUCUCACCUAGCAAUGAUUGCCCUGCUGGAGGCCCAGGCUAAGGAAGAGGCUGCCCUGCCAAGGAGGCCGGGCUUGGAGCUGUGCAACUCUAGACCUGUUUCUUCACACUUAUGAGCAAGUAAGAUUAGGGGGCUUGCCAAGGCCCCUCCUAGCUCCCAGAGUUCCACAGCCCCCACAAAAGCCUAAGGGUAGAUCCACUAGGAUGGCCAAGGAGGUCUCAGCCCCAUCCCUACCUCCAAGUCUCAUUUGUUGUCCUUUGGGCUCUGUUUGCUCAGUUUGGCUCUGGCGUCCCACCUGGCCAGCCCUUCUUCCCUACAGCAGGAGAUCACAGCAUCUGGCCUUUUGUGGCUACAACAUGCUGCCUGUGGCCUGGCUCAGUGGAACCAAAAACCACAUCCUCCAU